rnacentral:rRNA from 1 species
AACGAACGCUGGCGGCAUGCCUAACACAUGCAAGUCGAACGAGACCUUCGGGUCUAGUGGCGCACGGGUGCGUAACGCGUGGGAACCUGCCCUUAGGUUCGGAAUAACUCCCCGACAGGGGUGCUAAUACCGGAUAAUGUCUUCGGACCAAAGAUUUAUCGCCUUUGGAUGGGCCCGCGUUGGAUUAGCUAGUUGGUAGGGUAAAGGCCUACCAAGGCGACGAUCCAUAGCUGGUCUGAGAGGAUGAUCAGCCACACUGGGACUGAGACACGGCCCAGACUCCUACGGGAGGCAGCAGUGGGGAAUAUUGGACAAUGGGCGAAAGCCUGAUCCAGCAAUGCCGCGUGAGUGAUGAAGGCCUUAGGGUUGUAAAGCUCUUUUACCCGGGAUGAUAAUGACAGUACCGGGAGAAUAAGCUCCGGCUAACUCCGUG